AUGACGCCGGAGUGGUCAUUCGUCACAAGGACCGGCAGCUCAAUAGCAGCCGCUGCUUGUUACUCUGCUUGCUGCUGCUGCUGCCGGAUCGCCACUGGCCGGGUCGCCGCUGCAGCUACUGCGGCCACAUCAGAUGGAGGAUGCUGGGAUGCGGGAUGGAUUGCUACUGGGAAGGCUCCGCCAGUGCUCCCGGUGGAGGAGCCCGCUGAUGAGGCGCCCUGGGAGGUUGCCAGGGGCCGCCAUGACCGCCGACUCCGCUCCCCGCGCCAGCACCGGCCGAGGCCCCAUCGCAGCGCCCUGCCGUGCCGCCCGGCCUCUCCUCCUCCGGCGCGUCGUGACUCCGACGUCUUCUCCAAGUCCCACUACCCAGGGCACCCUCGCUCCAAGUGCCGCCAUGACUGGCGUUGCCAUCGUUGUGGCUUCUACGGCCACAUCGCCCGCGCUUGCACCCUGCCUCGCCCCCGCCUCGCUGUCGGGGCUCCCCCGGCCAAGCGCCCACGCCUCGUGCCCUCUCCAACUCUCGACGCUGGCUCGCCCGCCCCGGCCACGGUGACCUCCCCUGCUCCUUCGAUGUCCGCCAUCGGCAACUCCCGCGACUCCGUGCGCAGCCCCAUGCCCUUUUUUGGCCACCCCUCGCUCUGCCCGGCCGGAGCCAUCUGCUACAUGCCGCUGUCUGUCGAGGUGCGCGAUGCGGAGGCGGCCCUAGGCCGUGCGCGCAUCGUCACUGUUGCGGGCAACCGCACCCGCGUCUCCAGCUCCGAGGUGGCGGAGGCCAUCGCCUCGCGACAUGGCCCGGACGCACGCGAUUUCUUCGUGCACCGCCAUCCUGAGGAUUUCCUGGUACGCUUCCGCUCCGGCGACAUCCGUGCCCGUGUUGCUGCGACGAACCUGCGUACGCGCAAGUUCCGCUUGCUGUUCAGCCCAUGGGGCAACCUCGCCGGCGCCGAGCUUGUCACCGCCUGCAUGCGCAUCUUCACUGAGAUUACCGGGAUUCCAGACCACGGUUGGCAUCGUUCCUCGGCCGAGACCCUCCUCGCACCGUUAUGCAUGAUCGAGGCACUUGCUCCUGAGACUGCCAGUGGCAGUGACAUGCCGAAGACUACAGGUUCCCGCCGACGUUGUCGCCGCCUUCCAGGCCGGUUUCUGAUGGUGGGGGAACCAAUGGAGAUGACGCCGGCGACUCCCCUCCACUGCCGCCUAAGUGGCCGCGCUGCCAUGACUUUCCGCCGCGUCGCCCUGGCUCCGGCGCCGCUGGGGCUGCCCACGGUGGCCGGCAUCACCGUGGUCGCCGCCACCCGCCCUUCCAUGGAUACCAAGGCUUGCUGGGCCCCUACCCUUCCUCCCCGAGUCAGAAUGCCAGGCCACCACCUCAGCAGCGUUUGUCCUACCCGCUGCAUUUGGAUAAAGCAACCGCUCCGCGCCAAAGCACCUGCCAGUCCGCGCCGUGGACUAGUUUCGAAAUUUGAAACCCGGCGCUGGCUCGCGCUGAGAACGGCCAGGAGAUUCCCGCCCGCGCCGCCCCUGCCCAAUCAUCGGGCUGCCCGGCACCUGGGCCCGCGCACCAGGGCGAUCCGAUGCCAGUCCAUCAACUCCUUGUCGCUGCGCCAAUCGAGGAUUCCCCUGGGAUCUGCGCCUUGGCCACCACCCCCCGACAGCCUGGCUAUGCAUGGGGAUGUCUCGUCCGCGGGCCCACCUGGUUUGGCGCUUCCUGCUGCUGCCGCACGUACCAUGCAUGGGGAAAGCCCGCCCCCAUGCAACGCCGGGUACGAUGCCCCACAUGAUGUGCUUGCCAGCCAGGCCAUGCACGAGUCCCUAGCUGUUGCCACGGUCCAAGACACGCCACCAACCCCUCCCCUCCAGCAAUUCAUCGAGGCCGUUCAAGCCCCAACCGUAGCGUUGCUCCCAUCCCCUGGACCCUGUCGACGACGGGCCAUCCCGAUUGACUUCACUCCACGCCGGAGUGAUCGGAUUGCUAAGGCGGACCGGGGCCUUGACUCUAAGACUAAAGCGAAGCACGUCCUCCUUCGCAGACUUGGGAUUCUCAAAGACGAUGAGCCGGCCUCUGCCAAGGCUCUGGAGCAGUAUGCCAAGCUCUUCGCCAAGCCUCUGGCUGCUGACGUUGUACAGGCAUUCGCGGAGUUCUAUGGCUGGUCGGUGCCCCGACAACUGCUUGAGAGCAUAGUGCCGUCAACCAGGCCGGAGGCCGAGCCACGCCUUGUCGAGAUUUGGCCGCGAUUAUGUCCGGCUCACCCUCGCCGACGAGACAAAAUCACGGUGCAGGUCGUUGCGCUGGUCGCCGCUGCCGCCACCAUGACCGUCAAUCGGAUCUCCUCUUUGAAGUUGGUUGGCAUCCACGUGGACCCCGAGGCGAUGGCAGAAAAUCUUGCCAUCGCAAAAUCGGUGGCUGACGAGCGCAAGGUUAACCCAAACCGCAUGUUCUUGGCCAAAACCAAGCACGGGUGCAAUGCCAUGUUCGCCGAGUUCUGUGACACCGACGACGAUGACUCGAUGGCUAGGAUGCCGAAGGGCGGCAUCCACUAUGAGGAGGCCUUCGGCUGUGGCAAAACAGAGGUCAUCGACCUCUGCUCCGACGAAGAGUACUUUAGGUAG
rnacentral:rRNA from 1 species